GACGAACGCUGGCGGCGUGCUUAACACAUGCAAGUCGAACGGAAAGGCCCUGCUUGCAGGGUACUCGAGUGGCGAACGGGUGAGUAACACGUGGGUGAUCUGCCCUGCACUUCGGGAUAAGCCUGGGAAACUGGGUCUAAUACCGGAUAGGAGCCAUUUUUAGUGUGAUGGUUGGAAAGUUUUUUCGGUGUGGGAUGAGCUCGCGGCCUAUCAGCUUGUUGGUGGGGUAAUGGCCUACCAAGGCGGCGACGGGUAGCCGGCCUGAGAGGGUGGACGGCCAAAUUGGGACGGAGAUACGGCCCAGACUCCUACGGGAGGCAGCAGUGGGGAAGAUUGCACAAUGGGCGGAAGCCUUAUGCAGCGACGCAGCGUGGGGGAUGACGGCCUUCGGGUUGUAAACAUCUUUCGACAGGGAAGAAGCUUCGGUGACGGUACCUGUAUAAGAAGCACCGGCUAACUACGUG
rnacentral:rRNA from 1 species